rnacentral:rRNA from 1 species
GCAUCUGCCCAAUGACUCUUUUAAAUGGACUAUAAGGUAGCAAAAUAAUUUGUUUUUUAUUUAAAAACAUGUUUGAAGACAGCAUUAACUAAAUAUUUUUUCUCCUCUUGGGGGGAACUUAAGAAACCAGGGCAAACUCKGGUAAUCCCCUUUUARACRAUAAGACCCUAAAACCUUCACUAAGUUUUGCGGGGAURGCAAWUUAAAARGAAUAAAWUCUACCCAAUAUUUCYUACACCAUUUUAUAUGCUACCAAAGGUACUUUAGGGAUAACAGCGUUCCUCCCUUUCAAAGCGUCUAAUUUAUUAAGGGUAAUACCGACCUCGAUGUUGAAUUAAGCCCUGAACAGCCGCAGAAGGUGGAUUCAGCCUAAGCCUG